CAGCAGCCGCGGUAAUACAGAGGGUGCGAGCGUUAAUCGGAUUUACUGGGCGUAAAGCGUGCGUAGGCGGCUUCUUAAGUCGGAUGUGAAAUCCCUGAGCUUAACUUAGGAAUUGCAUUCGAUACUGGGAAGCUAGAGUAUGGGAGAGGAUGGUAGAAUUCCAGGUGUAGCGGUGAAAUGCGUAGAGAUCUGGAGGAAUACCGAUGGCGAAGGCAGCCAUCUGGCCUAAUACUGACGCUGAGGUACGAAAGCAUGGGGAGCAAACAGGAUUAGAGACCCGUGUAGUCCCUGUCUCUUAUAC
rnacentral:rRNA from 1 species